rnacentral:lncRNA from 1 species
ACUACGAAGCUCUGAAUUCCUCAUUGCACUAUGAGGAUACGUAGGCAUGAGGGCCCCAAUCCUCACCGAGCAAUUUAUCUAUUCCUUUCCUUUCCCUCAAUUCUUUUGCGAGUAAUCUUUAGCUAUCACACCUAUUCGAGCGAGAACAAUCAAAACGGUUCCCAUGGAGUACCAUGGAUGUUUGGGAUGCUAAUACAUUCCCCUUGCAUAACCGACUUCCUUACCUAGCAUAUCUCUUUCCCCCAGGUUUUAUCAAUGUUUUCCCUUCCCUUUGGGGGAUAAAUAAAGUUUGAUGGCAACUUUGUUGUAUGUUCGAGCGUGCGAUACGUUCGGGUAUAUUUCUGCUAACUUCAAUCAUAACCAUAUUCAGGUUCAGGAGUCAAUUAAGCAAGGGGAAGAUAUUAACACCUCUCACUUACGAUGUAUUCAACAGGAACCUUUUAGUUUUAUUUGUGAUUGAAUGUUAUCUUAUGUUAACUGUUUCUUUCAAGUGAUAAAAAAUGCAAAAGGAAAAGAAAAAGGGUCGUAAAAAGGUUUUUAUUAGGGUGCUUGACGAGAUUGCGGGUCUCGCUCCUUCGUAUCCUCGGGUACAAUGAGGAACUUAAAGCUCUGUAGUUCGGGGGGAAUGUUACAUUUUGUUGGUUUGUUUUAUUUGGACAAGUGUUUAGAUCGUAUUCUAACGAUUAAACAUUGACUUGUUUGCUCGCGGUGAAGACUUAAACGCUAGUUUGUAUUCGCAUUAGAAUGGACUAAACAAUGUCAUUUGCAAAAAAAGGUGUUUGAUGGCACGAGGGCGAGUAAUUAGGUUUGAUUUGUUUAAGUAGAUUUUAAACUUGGAAGACGAACAUUCAUGACCUGCAAGUAAUUACUACUUGAGUCUAAUAUUCGGGACUAUGACUGGACCUUUUACCUAGGUAGUCUUUUUCUUUCAAUUUGUUGCGAAAGUGUUUGAAUAGUUAUAAGUAUUUUGAGGGAAAUAAAAACACUUGAGAUUGCAAGAAAUUAUUACUUGGGCUUGGUGUUCAGGACUAUGACUGGACCUUUCACCCAUGUAGUCUUUUUCUUUCAAUUUGAUUAUGAAAUUGUGACGCGUUUGUAUUUUUUAGACAAAGAUGAAGUAUUUAUAACUUGCAAGCAAUUACUACUCGAGCCUAACAUAUCAGGAUUAUGACUAGAUCUUUCAUCCAUGUAGUCUUUUUCUUUCGUUAUUAUGAAAUAGUCAAAGUAUGGAGUAAUUUUUUGAAGUGGAUAAUGAAAAUCGCUUAAUGUUAGAUCAAACGUUUAGUUUGCGUUUGCGGAGUGAAUUGUGAAAUGAUUUGAAAUAUGGAUGAGUUUGAAUGAGUUUGGUUGAAAAUGAUUUGAAUCAGCGAUGAAAUGAGUUGUGAGAUAAGUCGAUCAAUAUUUAAUUAACAAAAUCAAUUGAUUAAAGUUUGAUUAAAUUACUUAAUUAAGCUAUCAAAAUUAAUUAUCAAAAUUGUUUGAUUAAAAAUUAAUGUAAUCAAAUAAUCAAGUUAGUUAAAAUUGAUUAAAAAAACUAUCUAAUUAAACAAAAAUUUAAUUAAUUAAUUAAUUUAAUUAAAGAAUAAGCAACAAGAUCAAGUGUAAAAUAAUCAAAACGAGUUAACCGUAAUAUGCUCAAAGUCGGUUUGUGCGUAACGACAAUAAAAUCAGAAUGUCGUACACAAGGAUCAUAACGCGCUAAAAUUAAAUCAAUAUAUUGAAACUAAAUUCCAACAGUAUAACAACAUGAAAUUUCUGAAUCCACGGAUAAAAGUCCGAGUAACACAACGCGAUGAAAACCAAAACAAUAGCAACUCAGAAUUAUCUACAUAAUACAAAUUAUGCACACUAUCCAAAAUAAUAAAACAAACAACAAUAUCGCAACAAAUUUGAAUCGAAAUCAAAAAUCAAGGCAACACAACACAAUAUAAUAGAGUAAUCGGUUCAGAAUGCUACCACCAUUUUGAGUUAGUUAUUAUCGCUAAUCAGAGGGAGAUGCUUUUGUGGAAGUCUUACUGAAAGGAUACUUGUAGGAACAAAAAUCACUAGGAGUUAACUCUACCUUUUCAAAAAAACUAAGACCAAUCAAACGAAACAGGGCUGGAAGAGGAUGAAACACUUAUUCAUCUAUUGAAUUUGUAGCAUCCUUAAGAGAAACCUGAUGUUGCUUAACAAACAUUGACAUAUUGAUGAACACAAUAAUUGAAAAAGCGAUAGUAUCCAUGAUGCACAAAACAUUAGGUGCAAAUUCACAUUUCCAUGGUUUUAUGAUCUUCCCUUUACACUGACAACUUUGUCAAUUCGCCGGAGCCAAUAAACCACCAAUCAAUAGAUUCAAACUCAACAGAGCAUUUCUUGUUGUCAACUUUGCACUUGAUGCAAAGGUGACCAGGUGCAGAGAUAAUUUCGGAGGAGACACCCACCAUUUAUUGAUAUCAUAUGUGGUUGUUGCUAUGAUGGAUGGGUUUGUUUUUUCACUGCUGUGUUCUCAUGUUUUUGGAUGUGCAAUUACGAAAAUGAGGUUAUAUAGGUCUGGUGCACCGACGACCAGAGUUUCGUAGUGGUUGUUGUUUGGGCUGUUAAUGAUGGAGUGGGGUUGUAGGUAAGAGGGUUUGAUGAUGUUGAAAGUGGUUAGGUGUUAAUAUGUGAAGAAAUUUAUGUGGAUAGAUGGUGGUUAGCGGCGACGCUCGAAGGUUAAGACACUUGGAAUGAGAGGUGGUAUGAUGUUUUGAGUGAGGUACAUAUGUUAUUUUUGUAGGUUUUAUUGAAGAAGGGAGUUUUUAGAAAAAUAUUCUAUCAAUUGAGAGAGAAGAAGGAGAGGGAAAGAGGUGAGAUUCCCCUCAUCCUGAAAAAGUGAGUCUUCAUUUUCUUUCAUGAAGGUGGCGUGUCAUCAGGCUAAUGGAAGAGAGAAAGUAUUCAAUCUUAUCUCCUUAGGGGCGCGUGACUUAAUAUUAUUGGAGGAUGUAUAUGUUAACCUCCUUUUAAAAUGUGAGACAGGGGUUUCUUUGAAAAGCGUUUUUCUUUUUCUCACUUACUGAUAGAGGGGGGUGUGGCAUGAAGGAGCCCCCAUAAUCACGUUUUUCCUAUUAUAAUAUAGUCUCUUUUUCUUCAUUUUCUUUUUAUUAUUUUUUCUUAAUUGUCAUUGGUGGAUAAAUAUGGACAUGUAUUGCAAUUGUAAGCCUUUGAUGACCUUGAUCAAAUGGUUUGAGAUUAGCACAAAGAAACACACAUUUAUCAAUUAAUUUAAAAUGUCAACAUUGCUCUAACUAUAUGUUUUAAUAAAUUAAAAUCAAUAUAAAUCAAUUUAAAUAAAUAAAAUUCACAUAUUUUAAAAUAGAUACAAUAAAAUAAAAAUGAAAAUAUAGUAAAUUCUAUUUAUUUUUAUGAAUAAUUUGACAAAAGGAUCAAAAUGAAUAAAAAUCGAGCGUAAAAGUGCUCGAAAAAUUAUAUUGAAUGCACUAAAAUGAUCAUAGUGAAAUAAACUUCUCAGAAACAUACAAGUUUUGAUCAAAUUUUAAAGUACAAAACACUCGGUUACAAAGGCUCAAGCUAGUCAGAAUGUGACCGAAAAAGGAGUCAAAAAAUGAAACGAGCACACCAAAUUAAACUACACAAAUUAUAGGUCAAUAAACAGACGUUUGCAGACCCGAUCUUUAAAUUUUUGUUCGUUGAUUUUAUGUAUAUUUGAAAAUUGAUUCAACCAAUCUAUCUGUAGAUCUGAAAAUUUACUUUGGUCGAUAUUUUAGACAUUAUACAUGAUGAAAAACAUGUUAUGCUAUGUAGAUGAUAUACGAUAAAAUAAAGUCGGAUAUAUGAAUUUUUUUUAAAUGUUCGAACAAAAUUGAGGUAUGAUAGGAAAUUAGAUGGAAUGGAAUAUAACAGAUUCCAUCAUGUUCAAUUCCAUUCCAUUCCAUUCCAUUCAUUAUUUACAAAUCUAAAUAAUAAAAUCAGAUUAAUUACCACUUCACUCUAUUCUAUUACAUCCCAUACCAUCAAUCUAAACAUACCCUUAUAUUCAUAUAUUUUUUAAAAAAACAUAUCACUAUUGUCAUCAAUCUAUUAUCAUGACCUAUCAUUCAUUGAUUUAAAUUUUAAAAUGUUAUUAUCAAUUUCAAAAAAAUAACUUGAAAAGUAGAAUUUUAUGACAAAUAAACACAUAUUUAUUAAAUUUUGAUGUAAAAUUUAUUUAUAAUGAACUUUUAAAAUAAGAAGAAAAAAAAAUAAAGAAUAAUAUUUUUAUAAAAGAAUAAAAUUCCAAAUAUGUGAUCCUAGUCGGUUAGUUUAAAACAAAAUAUUUUAUCUAAAAAAAAAGAGGGUUAUCCUAAUUGAUCGAUUUUAAUAUAUUUAAAAUAAAUUUCUGUAAAUUAUAUGUUUUAUUUUUAAUUCUUAAGUUUUUUUUGGAAUUGUUUAUAUUAAAACUAUUUUUAUAUUUUAGGUUCUAAAGUGAAAAUAUGAAGUAGAAAAAUCCGUAAUAUAUUUUAAAUCUAUAAAAGAAUUUAAGAGAAAAUCCAUAAUAAAACUGCAGAUUUUCUAAUAAAUUUAUAUUUUAAGAACUAAAAUAAAAGAAUUUAAAAUUUAGAGACUAUUUCAAAAAGAAAUUAAGAAUUAAAACCAAAAAAACACGUUAACUUAUUUAAGCCUUUGAAAAUAAUCAUAAUAAUGAUAUAAGUAGUACUGUAUAAUUUUGGAAAGUGUAUAAUGAAUUGAAAUGAUUAGAAUAAAUAGUCCCGUCAAGUUUCAUUUCUAACACUUUUUACCUGUCAGAGAUAUACACAACACAACAAACAAAAAUAACCCGUGUAAGCGUAGCGCAAAGGUGGUAUACACUACACCAUAAACGACGCUGCGUUCAACGACUUUUUUCGUUCCCUUCAGAUUUCGUAAUCGACGGCAGCGUCAGACUAACGGUGCCGCUUCGUGGUGCCGUCGUUACGCUUCUAUCUGUUACCUUCCUUAUACGCCAUCGUAUCGAUCCAUCUCAUCAACGAUCGUUCCUCUUUCAUCUCAAUUACCAAACCCUAAUUCAGACGAAGUUA